ACAAGCGGAGGAGCAUGUGGUUUAAUUCGAUGAUACGCGAGGAACCUUACCUGGGCGUCGAACGUAAGAUGACUGUAGGUGAAAGCUUACAUCUCUUCGGAGCAUUUUACGAGGUGCUGCAUGGUUGUCGUCAGCUCGUGCCGUGAGGUGUCGGGUUAAGUCCCAUAACGAGCGCAACCCUACCUUUAGUUGCCAUCAGGUUAAGCUGGGGACUCUAAAGGAACUGCCUACGCAAGUAGUGAGGAAGGCGGGGAUGACGUCAAAUCAGCACGGCCCUUACGUCCAGGGCUACACACGUGCUACAAUGGCCGAUACAGAGGGCAGCUACCUGGUGACAGGAUGCAAAUCUCCAAAGUCGGUCUCAGUUCGGAUCGGAGUCUGCAACCCGACUCCGUGAAGUUGGAUUCGCUAGUAAUCGCGCAUCAGCCAUGGCGCGGUGAAUACGUUCCCGGGCCUU
rnacentral:rRNA from 1 species